rnacentral:tmRNA from 1 species
GGGGGCGAUCGGUUUCGACCGGAUGCCGACUCGACCUGGGUGGCGCGCCGAGGGCCGGGCACCUCGUGAAUCCGACCGGAAACAACCAAGUGCCAACACGCACUACUCCCUCGCUGCCUAAGAACUAGGUAUCGAGCGCCGAGGUCUCUUCGCCCGCGGGAGGCCAAGGCGACACACAGCGGGCUGGUCACCGGCGGCUGCUCGGCCCGCCGGUGACGAGACACAGUCGAGCUGGCUGCGGGUGAUCCUGUUCGUCGGAGCCCCUGCGGCGACACCAAUAGACGCACUACGCGCGUAGAGGCCCAGGACGGAGCAUCUCGGGACGCGGGUUCGAUUCCCGCCGCCUCCACCA